UUAAAUAGAACAAUUUAUUAAUAAUCUUUAUGUUUUUAGCAUAAUAAGUCUGGCAUACGUCUUCCAUCUCGUAGCUAUUGGGAUGAUGCAUUGAGAUUUCCCAGCCCAUUACUCCUAGAAAUAAAAGCAGCUGACAGUAUAAUGGAGCGACAGAAAACACUGGAAGAAAAUGUCAUGGAAAAAGAAAAGGAAGAGAGCAUGGGACAGAUGGAAGAGGAGAGAAGUCAACAGCAGUUUUUUUUUAGAAGAAGAUGAGGGAAAGAAAACAAAAAAAGGCUGAAAAGAAAAAGAGGAAAAGGAUAAAGAAACGAGAGUUAAAGUGAAGGGAAAAAGAUGCCGAUAAUGGGAACGAUUUUAACGACGACCUGUAUGAUGACGACGAGUACGAUGAUUUUGACGUCAUGACCAGAUGGCCAGGAUAUUAGAGUCAGCAAGUGUCAAAAAGCUGUUUCCGAUGCAAAAUUCUAUGUUUCGUUGUAGAGAUGAGUUUGUUUGCAGCCUAGCUGCAAACAUUUCAUCAUGAAUAAAAUUUGAAGUUUUCACCUGUAAUUCAGAUCCAAUUUGCGAUGUUGACUGGAAAAUAAAUACAAAUAUUUUCGUGUCUUACGCUUAUUAUGGAUUCAUCUUCAUUCAUCGAGUAGGGCAUGACCAUCCACUGCGAACUUUUUCCGAUCAUCCCAUAAGCCUAUGUUAUGUAAUUUUUCACUAUUAUUUUAAAUUUUAAAAUGCGAUUCAAUUAAGCGUUGGGUAAAAUCAGUCAUCUGGAAUCCUGCUUCAAAUGUAUUAGCAACUUGUUCUGUGGAUUCAUCGCUUCAAGUAAACUCACACAUACACAGAAACAUUAUUUAAUGUUGGUUCUUACAAAGUUAGUUCUCUAUUAUUCAGGUUUGGAAAGAUGCAUUAAGAAUUAGCUCUGAACCAAAGGAAUUGAAUGGUCAUUAUCGAUCGG